rnacentral:rRNA from 1 species
UACGGAGGGUGCGAGCGUUAUUCGGAAUUACUGGGCGUAAAGCGCGUGCAGGCGGUUUGGCAAGUCUGAUGUGAAAGCCCCGGGCUUAACCUGGGAAGUGCAUUGGAAACUGCCGGACUUGAGUACUGGAGAGGAAGGGGGAAUUCCCGGUGUAGAGGUGAAAUUCGUAGAGAUCGGGAGGAAUACCAGUGGCGAAGGCGCCCUUCUGGACGGUUACUGACGCUGAGACGCGAAAGCGUGGGGAGCAAACAGG